CAUCGCGGUGAAACACUGACUUUCAUACGAUCACCGAAGUUAAGCAACGUCAAGCCUGAUCAGUACCUAGAUGAGUGACCGCUUGAGAGUACCAGGAGCUGUAA